rnacentral:siRNA from 1 species
ACAAAUGCAACUGACGCCAUGAC